rnacentral:lncRNA from 1 species
UUUUUUUUUUUUUUUUUUGCAUUGUUGUGUAAUAUUCUGUAAAUGGAUGCUUUGUUUAUCCAUUCUACAGAUGAUGGACAGUAUUUAUUUCUAGUAUUUGACUAGUACUGAUAGUGUUUCUAUGAACCUUCUAAUAGAUGUCUUUUGGUUGUAGCAGGACAAGCCGCAGACAAAACUCCUCAGACACUGAAUUAAAGAAGGAAAGGGUUUAUUCAGCUGGGAGCAUUAGCAAGACUCCUGUCUCAAGAGCUGAGCUCUCUGAGUGAGCAAUUCCUGUCCUUCUUAAGGGCUCACAACUCUAAGGGGGUGCACAUGAGAGGGUCAUGAUCGAUUGAGCAAGCAGGGGGUACGUGACUGGGGGCUGUAUGCACCAGUAAUUAGAUCAGAACAAAACGGGAUAGGGAUUUUCACAGUGCUUUUCUAUACAAUGUCUGUAAUCUAUAGAUAACAUAACCAAUUAAGUCGGGGUCGAUCUUUAACUACCAGGCCCAGGGUGUGGCGCUGGGCUGUCUGCUAGUGGAUUUCAUUUCUGCCUUUUAGUUUUUACUUUUUCUUUCUCUGGAGGCAGAAAUUGGGCAUAAGACAAUAUGAGGGGUGGUCUCCUCCCUUCUUCCCCCGCUUUGAGACUCUCACUCAAUAGUGAGAGUUCUCACUUUCAUUUUUACUACCUAUGUCUUCUUGCAAGACAGACCGAUAGUAAUUCAUGUAAUACACUUGUGCUUAAGCAUUUUGGUGAACUAAGGUAGCGAUGGAGCUUUUUAUCAUUUGAAGAAGUACAGGUAGCAAACAAAGGAGCAGUAAGCAUGUCCUAUUACUAUUAUAACUACUUUUUUUUUUUUUUUUUUCGAGACGGAGUCUUACUUUGUCGCCCAGGCUGGAGUGCAGUGGCCGGAUCUCAGCUCACUGCAAGCUCCGCCUCCCGGGUUUAUGCCAUUCUCCUGCCUCAGCCUCCCCAGUAGCUGGGACUACAGGCGCCCACCACCUCGCCCGGCUAGUUUUUUUGUAUUUUUUAGUAGAGACGGGGUUUCACUGUGUUAGCCAGGAUGGUCUCGAUCUCCUGACCUCGUGAUCCGCCUGUCUUGGCCUCCCAAAGUGCUGGGAUUACAGGCUUGAGCCACCGCGCCCGGCCUAUUAUAACUCUUAUUAUAAGAGUUUUCAAUCCUCCUAGCACUGGGAACCAUUUUCUAAACAUGGCCCCAGGAUCAAAUCCAUGCCACAUGU